AAAAGGCCUAGACAACCAGGAGGUUUGCUUAGAAGCAGCAAUCCUUUAAAAAGUGCGUAAUAGCUUACUGGUCUAGCAAUUUUGCGCCGAAAAUUAAUGGGUCUAAGUAAUUUGCCGAAGCUGUGAGAUAUAUCAAAAGAUAUUUCGGUAGGGGAGCGUUCCAUUGUAGGUUGAAGUAUUAGCGAAAGCGGAUAUGGACGAUAUGGAAGUGAGAAUGUCGGAUUGAGUAGCGAAAACAUUGGUGAGAAUCCAAUGCUCCGAAACCCUAAGGUUUCCUCCGGAAGGUUCGUCCGCGGAGGGUUAGUCAGGUCCUAAGGUGAGGCUGAAAAGCGUAAUCGAUGGAUAAUAGGUUAAUAUUCCUAUACUAUUUUUUGUUUGUGCCGAGGGACGAAGAAGGCUAAAUUAGCCGGAUGUUGGUUACCGGUUUAAGUAGUCGAGGUGUUGAGAAGUAGAGAAAAUAUUUUGAGCUAAGCUACGAAUACAAAACUUUUAGUAGUUAAAGUAAUUGAUGUCAUACUUCCAAGAAAAGCUCGUAGCACGUUAAGCAAGAAAUACCUGUACCUUAAACCGACACAGGUAGGGAGGUAGAGAAUACCAAGGAGCGCGAGAGAACCCUCCUUAAGGAACUCGGCAAAAUAGCUCUGUAACUUCGGAAGAAAGAGUGCCCUAUGGGCUGCAAUAUCAAGUUCCAAGCAACUGUUUAGCAAAAACACAGGUCUCCGCUAAGUUGUAAAACGACGUAUGGGGGCUGACGCCUGCCCAGUGCCAGAAGGUUAAAGAAGUUGGUUAGCAUUUGCGAAGCUGGUAACUGAAGCCCUGGUGAACGGCGGCCGUAACAAUAACGGUCCUAAGGUAGCG
rnacentral:rRNA from 1 species